AAAACUAAAAGAUGUUUGAACAAACAAGUUAGCAGUGAUUCGAUCUCUCUCAUUCUAGUAAGAGGGAGGGGGACGUGGGGGAGGAGCCCAAAAAACAUCAUGAUGCAUCUGGCCAUUAGGUAAAAGAUUGGGUGGUAAAUUGUAAAUAGGCAUGGAAGAUGCUGCAACUUGGUCACCAUGAGACUGAGCUGCUGAUGCUGAAUUACCACCA
rnacentral:lncRNA from 1 species